CAUGUUCACGAUGUCACAGUCUUAUUGUGCCACAGAUAUAAGUUAGCACAUAAUUCUCUUUUUAGUGGUGAAUCCAUGACCCCCUACAGUGUCCACACAACCCGUGACCAUGGCUGCAGCGGCACGGCGUGUAAUCUGGAUGGAGAUGUCAGGGUACACGUGCUCUCCAAGACGACGAUCUUCCACCUCAAGAACAGCCUCUCCUCAAUAAUAAGUGGCGAGAUUAAAUGCAAGGAAAAUAUCACAUCAGUAACUAGACUAAUACUGUGUUUUCAUUUCCUUUAACCUCCAUCUGCAUGUAAGGAAGCAUUCAUAUGCCCAAUAAAUGUUUUUGUUAAA